rnacentral:lncRNA from 1 species
GCGGCCGGCGCCAUCUUGGGAGUGACGAUCUCAGCCGUGUAACAUCUGGAACAAAUCCUCAACGCCCAGACAUCACACUCACUUAAGUCAGGCAUCUUUAUUUCACAAGUCAAAGUGUCAGCAGACAAAAAGCCAAGCCUUCUGCAAGGAAUCUUCUCCCCAAAACCAUAGCACAUACAGAUCCCUCCAGUCUCCACCGCAUCCUUCUUUACCCACGUCAGCUUCCGGGCCAGUUACUCAAAGGCUGUAAAGUUCUGCUUGAGGACUAGGCUAGGUGUUACACAAUCCUUCCAUAAACUUUCUCUCCCACCCAACCACCCUGCCUUUCGUUCU